rnacentral:rRNA from 1 species
UACGGAGGAUCCAAGCGUUAUCCGGAUUUAUUGGGUUUAAAGGGUGCGUAGGCGGCUAUUUAAGUCAGUGGUGAAAUCCUGCAGCUCAACUGUAGAACAGCCAUUGAAACUGAAUAGCUUGAGUAAUCUUGAGGUAGGCGGAAUGUGUUGUGUAGCGGUGAAAUGCUUAGAUAUAACACAGAACACCAAUUGCGAAGGCAGCUUACUAGGAUACAACUGACGCUGAGGCACGAAAGCGUGGGGAUCAAACAGG